AUUGAACGCUGGCGGCAGGCCUAACACAUGCAAGUCGAACGAGUGGCGGACGGGUGAGUAAUGUCUGGGAAACUGCCUGAUGGAGGGGGAUAACUACUGGAACCGGUAGCUAAUACCUCAUACCAUCGGAUGUGCCCAGAUGGGAUUCGCUAGUAGGGGGGGUAAAGGCUCACCUAGGCGACGAUCCCUAGCUGGUCUGAGAGGAUGACCAGAAACACUGGACAGGAGACACGAGCCAGACUGCUACGGGAGGCAGCAGUGGGGAAUAUUGCACAAUGGGCGAAAGCCUGAUGCAGCCAUGCCGCGUGUAUGAAGAAGGCCUGCGGGUUGUAAAGUACUUGCAGCGGGGAGGCGUUACCCGCAGAAGAAGCACCGGCUAACUCCGUGCCAGCAGACGCGGUAAUAC
rnacentral:rRNA from 1 species